GGCAGGAGCCGGAGUAAAGCCCGCCUCGGGCGCCCCCGCUCACCUCCCCGCCUGGCGUUUCCUCAGUCGUGCGUGUCUCCAGACCCGAGGCACCGGCCCCCAGCACAGGGUCUCUCGCACCCUGUCGCUUCCCGGGCCAUGGGUCGCCAGGUGCUCCUUCUGCUCCUGCAGCCGGUGCUGGCCGCGCUGGGCGGCCUCGGGGGCUCCGAGGCUGGUGAAUGGGGCCCACGGGUGGGCCGCCCUGAGUGGGGACGGCAUCCCACUCUGCAGGGUGCAGGCUGCAGGAUGCUGCAGAGGCGGGAGGCCGAGGAGAGCUGGGGGACCCUCGCUGGCUGUGUGCCCCACAACCACCACAGACACUGCAGUGACCUUUAAUUUAGGAGAGAGAGGCCGGCCGUCUGAAGGGCCCACCAGACGAAGUACAGUGCAACAUGACGAGGCAAGCUGCAUGUGGGGAAAGAUGCGUUCCUGUGGCCUGGCUCUGCCAUGGAGAGCAAGACUGUCCUGAUGGGACCGACGAGCAGUGCGGGAAGCACUUCUCACUACGGGAUCAUAGGAAAUAUGUCGUGGACAUCCACAAGCCUGGCAGUGCGAUGAUGGGAAAUGUAUUUCUCUUAACUGGCUUUGUGAUGGUGUUGGUGACUGCUUAGAUGGCUCCGAGGUUCAUUGUGAGAUAUUGACAGCAUGUCCAGACCAAAAAAUCUGGUGUCCAGGAAAUUCUCAGUGUCGUGAUGCUCGGGAACUCUGUGAUGGCCAUAUGGACUAUGAAGAUGGGUUUGACAAAGCACACUGCCCCUGGCACCAUUGCCUGGCUGGGCAGUGGCAGUGCAAGAACAAGAUGUGUGUCAUGAAGAGCUGGAAGUGACAGCAUCAAUGACUGUGGUGACUCCUCGGAUGAGGAAAUCUGUGGUACUUGUAUUGGGUAAAUCGAGAUCGGAAAGGCAUGAAGACUAUUGCAACUGCAGGGAUGGAUGGCUCUGAUAGGAAGAUGCUUGCAGUUGUAAACAUGGAGGAACCUGUAGGACUGACACUUGACCAUGUGACUGGCAGGCUCUACUGGAUCAGUAAAUAUAAAGAGGCAGAGACCCAGAGUGUGAGGAUCUUGCAGCCACUUAUGUCUCCUGUCCCCUGUCCUUCCCAAGGGCUAUAAAUGUGUUUGUCCAGAGGGAAUGUUUCUUUUACCUUCUGGUACAUGUAGUGAGUUAAAACUGUUAUUUUCUUCCGGAAAACAUCUCUACUUGUUGAAAGUCGGUUUUAUUGGAACUGCAAUAGAGAAAACCCUAGUUCAAGAGCAUCGUAGGAACAUCUAUCUAUUGGAUGUUGACUGGAAAAGAAACCUCAUCUACUGGACAAAUGCCCAGGACAGCUGUUCUGCUUGACUGGCUAUUCAAGAGAAAAGCAAGAGAUUUGGACGGAGCGUACAGUCUGCUCAGCAAAUGUGGACAUAUCAACUGGAAACUUAUACUGGCUGCCCUGUGACAGAAGGGCUAUCCAGAAGACUAGAAUUACUGGCCCAGAUACACAUACACUCUACAGAACGAGCAGCAUUAUACUUCAUCUUCUUCUCAACUGGCCAUAGAGGGUGCUCUACUGGGUAGAAAUUGGGAAGCACUUGCAAAGUAUGACGCUUGAUGGCAAAAACAGACAGGAAGUCCUGGACAGCAGAUAUCCACAUGGCCUUAGACCUUGGCUCAUCUAGUAUCCUCUGGACCACCAAAAGUCUAGGGUUGCAAAGUCCGAGUCUCCUAAAAAAUAGAAUAUAUACUUUGAACAAGACCUGGAGUGAUGGUAUUAUAGCGGCCCAUGAGCCCUACCUGGUGACUGUGAAUGGAGCAGCUCUUGUGCUGUGGAACAGGAGGAUGCUGGAGCCCUUCUCAGUGUCAAAAGAGCCAUACGUGAGAAAAAUGAUUAUCCUGGCAGAGAACCAGGAAGUUCCAGGCAAGUCUUCUCUGUGGGGUUAUUCUUUAAGAUCCACUUUACCUGGCUCUUCUCAGUGUGUUUUUAUAGGAUAAAAUCCUGG